UCGAAAUUAUGGUAGAACGGUAAAAUUUUGUUGAAAGAUCGUGUGAAAUGUAGACAUCAAAAUUUAAAUUGUUAUAAAGAAUAAAAAACAGUGCCUCGACAUUGGCUUCUUCAAAGGUGAAGAACUUCCAAACAUAAAUCACAAUUAUUUGUAGUUUAAUAUUUAUAUUACUUAUUACUAUUAUUUAAUGGAAUGAUAGGUUUCAAAGGAAUAUUUAACACGAGUUGUUAGAAAUUGAUAGGUACUUUAAGGCUUUAUUAGGUUAGGAAUGUUCGAUGGUGUUCUCCCCCCCGUAUUGCGUCGUAUUUUGUGAAACGGCUAAUUUCGUCUCUAUGAAACUAUUAUCAUAAUUGAAGCGUGGAAACAUCUAAAAUCAUUCAUUUAUGUAUUCAUCUCUAAUCCACGUGAUAACCUUAACUGACAAUAAGAAGAACAUGGAGUACCUGUACCAGUAAUUAAUAUUUAUUUUAAUAAAGCAAUCGUAUUGAUCAAUAGAAGUAAUACUUAACCAAAGUCCAUUCGAAGAAAAAUUAUGGAGUCAAGACUGUGCAAGAAGUUUCAUACAAAGCAACUGCAUUCCUCUCUCCACGGUUAUACGUUGUUCAAGCGACGAGAGCCGGUUAAAGAAGUGUGUUCUGAUGAAUGAACGAAUGGAUAAACGGCAGUAGCGGGUAGGGGCUGUAAAAGAAGAGACGGACUUGCGCCCCUGCUGGUCCGAAGUCUACUGGAGGGGGGCGAGGACGACCUAGGACGUGGAGGGUGAGGGGUUGCCGGCUUAAUUGCACCGCAUCACAGAACGUAGUAUUUCGUAGUACGUGAUGGUGGGGGUGUAAUGCGUCCUCGGUCGUCCUCGUCCUCGUCGACGGCGUCGUCGACGGCGACGACGCCGUCGUUAUUCGUAUGUAAGCUGCACGCUCUCCUGGAUCGACGUAUGCGUACCAGUGAUGUAUCAACUUAGGCCCCCUUUACGAAAGGGUUACCAACGAUCAUUCAACUCUUAAUCCCUCGACCUUCCCAGCGGUCUGAACGUUUUCACUUGAAUUGUAAAUUGUUGCAAAGUUACCGGCGAACGUUCUGUCCUUAAUGCCGCGAAUUUCCCAACAAUUUAAUUGUGUACAAAGUUGAAAGUUACGUAAAAGGUUGCAGAGACUCGAUGAAUUUUAGGGACUUUAAAGUUUCGACGAGCUUUGUACGCGCAAUUUGAAAUUUCAUAAGCCUUAGAGUGCAGUCACAGCUAUGAUCUUUGCAAAUUUUUUAAUAAUUCAGAAGUUUAACGCUUAUAAAGAUAGAGGCUUUGGACAUGUUUUAAUAACUUCCAAUUUUGAACAUUGUAACGUUGUCUCCUGAUUGUCACUGGUAGGGGUUCGAAUCGCCAGAGCGACGAUAAUACGAACCAAUCGGCAGGACGUACGACACGAGCGUAAUAAUCGAUCGGUUCAGACGUUUGACACACUUUUCCAGGCCGACAACGAUUAAUUUUCGACGAUGCAAAUCUGUCCCGGGUAGAGAGAGCGAGCGCGACGUAAGGGGGGGAGUAGGCUUUCGUGGAAAUACCUUUGGAGGGUGAAACCUCUGUAUCGUAAUAAAUAAUCGAUAUUAUUCUUGGACUAUCGAGGAAUAGCCGGGAUUAAAGAGGAACCUUUGAAUCCGUUGAAAUUUAUCCGAUAAAACCUCUCUCUGUUGAGAUCUGCGUAUCUUCAAGCAAAGGAUUCCCUUCCUUCAAGUAACUCUUUUCCAUUUACAUUAAAAGUUAAUCUUAGAAACGGUUCACUGUAUUCAAAGUACAGAGGAUCAUCUGUUAAAAUGAUUAAAUCGGUAUUAUGUUAGAUAAAUAAUAAUAAUAAUAAUAGAAAUAAUUAUCUAUAUGAAAUAAUUAUUUAUAUGAAUCAGUAAACAGAUGAUACACUGGUACUAUUAAUGCGUUUAAAGCGAAGGUGCUGAUACGGCCCUGCCCGCUCGUGUGCGUGACGUUGAGGCGUACACGCGAGCACACGCUCACGCUGCUCGCGUGUCAACUACCGUAACCGUCGAGUACAUCGGGGAUUUCACAGUGGACGGGGUCGCGGCUGAAAGGAAGGGGCUGGAAAAAAGGUGUGAAUGCCGGAUGGCAUUCAUUCAAAUGCCGUCCAAUCACAGCAUCGUACUCCAGGUCGAGUGGCAGGGCCGGCGUACCAUCGGGAAUUAUUAAGUCCUUGCGAUUCUCUGUUGCGUUAACCAGACAGAUUAACCCAAAUCCGUGCAUUAACCGAGUUCACUCUCCCUGUUAAUCAUUAAUUAUUGAAAUAUUGAAAUUGUAAAGCUUAACGCUAGAUUGCCGGACUAGGUAUAGCACAUAUGGAUUUUUGGAACUAAGGAGCGGGGGGGAAGGAAUUAGUAUUUAUAUACAUUUCAUAAUUCUAUUGAAAACCAACAUAUGUUCAAAAAAAAAAAAUUAUUUAAGUUUUUCUAUAUAUGUAGCAAUCUAGUGUUAAUGAAAUUUAUAAAUUAUUGUAUGUAUAUGAGGUUUUUUUUUUAAAUUUCAUGGGUCACUCUGGUUCUUGAUUUGAGGUUGCAUUCACAGUCUAAUUUAGCAUGAUCAUGCAAAAAUCAGAUGUACUGGUAAUGAGUGAUCUGUUCCCCUAGGUCGCGGUAUUCGCAGGUUGUACUACUUGAGGUAUCCACUGCAUCUCUAAAUCAGUAUCCAGUCAUCAUGAAAAAAUGAUUAAAUCAUUUCAUGUAGGUUCAUAAAGUUAAAUAUAUCAUAGAAGAUGCUGGUUGUCAGUGAUUCUUGCUUGUCGAAUCGGUUCACUUUCACUGUUGGAUAAUGAAGAAAUCUAUUCGGAGGCAACCGAGCUUGUUUACAAGCCGAGGAACAGUAUGAUGCUAGAGAAUCGUCCAAGUUCGAAUGGCAGCUAGAGACCAUCCUAAAAUUUAUGAGCAAAUCUGCCCGCUAGUCGUCGGAAUCGACGAGCGACGUCUUUCUGCCGAGUGUUUUUGACACGAGGCGGUCUCUCCAAUCGAUCCAGGCCAGAAUAGCCGAACCGGAAGUAGGACGUUUAGGCUCGAUGGGAAUGACAACGGGGAGAGUGACUUAACUUUUGGAUUUCCUCGGGUCCCUCCCGCAAUCACUCGGAUGAAUUUACUUGAUAAGAUGCCAACCGUUACGAGAAUUACUCUCUUCUGGCGUGCUUAAGAAUUAAUUGAAAAAAAGAAACGAAUCGUCGACGUUGAUCGAACGAGAACUCGCGAGAAAUUGGAUUCUUCCCUGAAUCUUUAUUUUGAUCAGACUUCCAUACACUUCUGCAAAGAAUCAUUUUAACCCUUUAACUGUGGAUACUUUUAGCACAGCCGAUUACAUUCUAUAAAUUAUAUUACUGAAGUGAUAUUCUAUUUUAAAAGAUUUUUUUUAUUGUAUUUAUUUUAUUUUUAUUUUAGUGCUAUAGAAGCCACAGGCCCUAUUUGAUAUUCUAUUUUAAAAGAUUUUUUUUAUUGUAUUUAUUUUAUUUUUAUUUUAGUGCUAUAGAAGCCACAGGCCCUAUUUGAUAUUAGCAAAAAUUAACAUGUGGUUUACAAACCACACCCCCAGUUAAAGGGUUAAGUUCAUAAAAAUUACAUAUUAUAAUCUCUG